rnacentral:lncRNA from 1 species
UGAAUUCUAAUUGGGCCAGAGUUGCAGGGCUCGACCUGAACGUGAACCAUUUGUUGUCGGCGUCAAUCGGCGAGACGGUCUACGUCAGAGCCACGCCUCUGCGGGUCGGUAAGAGGGUUCAGGUCUGGGAUGUGAAGUUCAGCAAACCUGUGCAGUCCGGAAGCCUUGCUACCACCACAGAGAUGGCCACCACAGCGGUUGCGCGCCUGACUGUGUUAGUCGGUUUGCCGGGCGUUGAGAAGGCCAAAGACGGAAACGAGAAGCUCUUGGCCAUCGCCAAAUCCAUGAACAUGGUGCUGCCUCCGGAUGAAAUCACGCAAUUAGCUUCCAAACUAUAGGCAGCUUCUUCAAACCUGUGCAGAUUUGUUUUUAUAAUUUUACAGUUUCUUCGUUCCACUUUGUAAUUAGGGCUUGCAACUGCAAGCACGCAUGGUACACACAUGGAGGCUCGCACAACUUGUCACAGCAGCCCAGACAUGCUGAGGCUUGGAGCCAAAACACA